GCGCCCGUAGCUCAACUGGAUAGAGCAGCCGCCUUCUAAGCGGCAGGUCGGGGGUUCGAGUCCCUCCGGGCGCGCCA
rnacentral:tRNA from 2 species